rnacentral:rRNA from 1 species
GGGGAAUAUUGCACAAUGGGCGAAAGCCUGAUGCAGCAACGCCGCGUGAGUGAUGAAGGUCUUCGGAUUGUAAAGCUCUGUCUUUUGGGACGAUAAUGACGGUACCAAAGGAGGAAGCCACGGCUAACUACGUGCCAGCAGCCGCGGUAAUACGUAGGUGGCAAGCGUUGUCCGGAAUUACUGGGCGUAAAGGAUGUGUAGGCGGAUAUUUAAGUGAGAUGUGAAAUCCCCGAGCUCAACUUGGGGGCUGCAUUUCAAACUGGGUAUCUAGAGUGCAGGAGAGGAAAGCGGAAUUCCUAGUGUAGCGGUGAAAUGCGUAGAGAUUAGGAAGAACAUCAGUGGCGAAGGCGGCUUUCUGGACUGUAACUGACGCUGAGGCAUGAAAGCGUGGGGAGCAAACA